UACGGGGGGGGCAAGCGUUGUUCGGAAUCACUGGGCGUAAAGGGUGCGUAGGCGGCUUUCUAAGUUGGAUGUGAAAACUAUGGGCUCAACCCAUAGCCUGCAUCCAAAACUGGAGAGCUUGGGUUCUGGAGGGGAAAGCGGAAUUCCUGGUGUAGCGGUGAAAUGCGUAGAUAUCAGGAGGAACACCGGUGGCGAAGGCGGCUUUCUGGACAGACACCGACGCUGAGGCACGAAAGCUAGGGGAGCAAACAGG
rnacentral:rRNA from 1 species